UUUAAUACUCCUUACUGUCGCUAAAGCCCUUCUCUUUCGCAGAACUCGAAAUAGCUCUGCUCUGCUUUUUACAACACCCACCUUAAUAAAAACCCUAAUUUUACAUCUUCUUUACCGCAAUUAUCAUUUCUAUUCAAUUUUAAUCCCAAGAGUCAAAUCUUUUCAUUCAUUUUCAAGUGAUGGAGAAUUUGAUUACUGAAAUUCAAGUGGAAGAGGCGGGCAGGUAUUCGGAUCUCGGAGUCGGAUCCUUUUCUGGGUUCCAAAGAAGGAUCGAGUUUCACCCGGCUAGAAAAGUCUUUAGUGGGCUUAGUAUGGUGGUGAGAAUGGGGAUUUUAAAUUGGAGACGCUGAAUCCAAGUGGGUCGGAGCAGAAGAAAACUGGGACGGGUCAGGGAAGGGUCCGAGUGGUGGGUCGGGGAAGAGAGUUGAUGGGUCGGAGUUUUGGGAUUGUGCGUUGGAUCCUAAGCUGAGUUUUGGGAUGACUUUCCGGAGAAUUGGCGCUGGUCUUGAAAAUCUUGGAAAUACUUGUUUUCUCAAUUCAGCGUUGAGUGUCUGACAUAUAUAGAGCCUUUAACGGCAUACUUGCAGAGUGGCAAGCAUCGAAAUUCUUGUGUGAGAGUGAGGAUGAAAGGUGUUGGGAUGAAGAGAGAAUUGCUCUCUUGCAACUUAAACCAUUGUGGAAUAGUACUUAUUACCUUCAAGAUUCGGUGGAAAAGGUGUUGGGAUGAAAACUCAAGACUGUUGUCAAUGGAGAAGGGUUGAGUGCAGCAACACAAUAGGCAAAGUGAUCAAACUCUAUGUUAGUUAUGUGAAAAGAACUAAUUGUGAGAUCAGUUGUAUAUGUAUGUUAAUUCGAAUCAUACAGUAGUAGAAACUAACCCAAAGUCUCAAUCUAAAAUUUAUACAGCAGAAACCACAAAACAGAUCCUAAUUUCUC